GAUGAAGAACUCAGCGAAAUGCGAUAACUAAUGUGAAUUGCAGAAUUCCGUGAAUCAUCGAGUCUUUGAACGCACAUUGCGCCCCCUGGUAUUCCGGGGGGCAUGCCUGUCCGAGCGUCAUUGCUGCCCAUCAAGCACGGCUUGUGUGUUGGGUCCCGUCCCCCUCUCCCGGGGGACGGACCCGAAAGGCAGCGGCGGCACCGCGUCCGGUCCUCGAGCGUAUGGGGCUUUGUCACCCGCUCUUGUAGGCCCGGCCGGCGCUUGCCGACACCCAACCAUUUUUUUCAGGUUGACCUCGGAUCAGGUAGGGAUACCCGCUGAACUUAAGCAUAUCAAUAAGCGGAGGA
rnacentral:misc_RNA from 1 species